rnacentral:lncRNA from 1 species
UAAUAUUUUCAAGAUGAGGAGGACAGGUUUCCCUCGGCCAUUGGUUGCCCGGAUAUAUCACCAUACCUAGCUUCCAUCUUUUUGCCACGUAUUGCCGGCCCCCAUACGUACUCAACCCUAUAAAUCAAACCCUUACAUUUCAGAGUUGAAUCGUUUAAGAAAAAAUGCCAGACCAUCCACCACCACCACACGGCGGCCACGGUCACGCACCACCCCCAGGUCCGGGACACCACGAGCCUCCUCCGCCCCAUGGCCAUGCUCCUCCUCCGGGGCCUCAUGCACCUCCUCCGGGACCCCAUGCACCUCCUCCGGGACCCCAUGCACCUCCUCCGGAACCCCAUGCACCUCCUCCGGGACCCCAUGCACCUCCUCAUGAUCCACACAAGCCACAUGACUGUCACCACGGUCACCACCACCCAUGAACCGAACUAGUCAUGAGGCCACGAUCGAGAAGCUAGUCUCAGCAAGUUGUUAUCUAUUUAUCUUUGUGCCUGUAAUGUGAUCUAGCUGCGGUUGUAGUUCUGAGUUGCUGGGUUUACUGGCUUUGCUCCAUUGAUCUCAUCGUUAUGUAAUGACUAAAAUAUGAGGACUAUGUAUGUAUCCAAAAGAAGGCUGAUCAUAUAUGUAUAAUAAGAAGAGUACUGGCUUUGUGGUUUAUGUAUAAUCCGCUUGUGUAAAACUUCUUCUUUUAUCCGUCUAAAUGUGAUGUAUAAUCAGAAAAUAUGGCCAGUUUGUCAUCUUGACCAACCUGAACUUACAAACUAAUUAAUUAAGUCAAUCUCCCCAAUUUCAUCAAUCUUCAUUAGGAUUUCAUCACUAGCUCAUUCCUUCACAGAUAAUUAACCAUUUGCUCGAUUGCUCUUAACAAACUGUAAUAGCCAAGAGGCAAACGCAUCCAUCUAAAUUCUAAAAAGUUAUUAACACAGGCUAGGGGUAAAUUAUCCUUUGUUCAGACCAAUCUCACAGUUGAAGCGAUGAAUUGGCUAAAACAAAAGCCUACGGGCAGAAAAACAAAGCAUCUCUAUUCGUACGGAAGAAUGACUUCCAUAUAUAGUAAGCCUUAUAGUUAUAACACCGUAAGUGUAUAAGAAUAGGAAUUCAUAAACGCAAUAAGAAGAAGACCGUGAAAGAGAUCGAAGAUUAAAGCAGGCCUUAAUGUCUUGUAUAUUCUGUACAAAAUUUCAACAGCCAGAUUUUCUCGAUGCAUUCGUCAGCUUCUGUUUGUAACCUUUCUUCUGUCAAAUCCUCCAUGGCUUUUCACGAGCAAUAAUUCUUGCAAGGUCCCAUUAACAAGCCUCACGUACGUUGUUCUUAUCUCCUUUUCCUUAGCUCACCAAGAAUUCAACUAUUACCAAGUGCAGCAACUAGUUUCUGUGAUCGAUCUACGGAAAGUUAAAGUUAUUGCUCAAAAGAGAAAGAGAAAACGGAAGUUAAAGUUCCAUGCUGCCCUAGUUCAAGUACGCACUCAGUUAUGAUCUUGUGGUUCUUACAAUGGAUGAAUGGAUGAAGCAUUACCACACAAAUACUCAGAAGAGAAAAACAAAACAACCACAGUGCACGAUUAACAUGCUAGCUAGCUUUCAUUGUGUGCAAAUAUCCUGAGCUACCAUUCC